rnacentral:misc_RNA from 1 species
UUUUUCUUGCCUUUGACCGUUUGCUUAGUAAAAUCUGAUUUCAAAACUUGGAAAAUCUGUUAUACUAUUUACUAUACAAUAGGUCGAUAAAAUGAUUAGAUGAGUAGAUGUCUUUAUAUUAAAAAGUAAAAAUUAUGUUGGUGGAUUAUGAUUCAUCCAGUGACACUUCUAUUUCCUCAGAAGAUGUUAAAAAUGAAAAUCAGGUAUCUAAUAUUACUAAGGUAAUUGGGAAAAUAGAUGAAAAUAAAGAUGGUCUUUAUAUUAGUAUGGACAAUGAAUGCAUGGAAAAUUUGGAUAAAGAAUGUAAAAUGUCUUCUGCUAAUCACUUCAAGAACAAAUUUGAGAUGCUGAAGUUAAGAAGAAUCAAAUCUCAAGAGAGUCAAACUUCCAAUAUUGUUUCAAUUGAGGAGAUUGUGAACGAUAAAAAACGAGAUCCAAUGAGAAAGAAGUAUCGAAAAGGGUUAGUGCUUAUAACUAUGAAAGAAAAAAUGAAGGAAUUGAACAGUUGCAUUCCAUUGACCUUUCAAGUUUGCAAUGAGUAUGACCCCCAUAAUCUAAAGAAGGUUCCUGGUUAAAAGGAUGAAAAUACUUCAGUUUGCCCUCUUCAAGAAUAUCUUUACUUGAAUUGUACAUAACUUGCUGUGAUCUAAUAUAUUCACACAAUGGAAAAAAGUAAAAAAGAGCAAAAUAGAAAAAGAUCUUGAUGCAGCAAUUGCGGCGAAAGACUUUCAAUUAGCUGAAGACAUUAAUAAAGAAAUGAUCAAAAGGUCCUUUGCGACUACUGUAAAAAGUGCAAUCGAAGCGCAUAACCACAUUAAAUUGCAGAAGAAAAAAGAGCAGCGGAGACGUUUACAUAAAAAAGAAAAGCUCCAGUGGUCGUUUAAUCAAAAACAAAGAUGGGAAACAAAAGGAAACAUGUAAUAAAAUACAAAUACAUUUUUUUAUUUUCAUUUUUGUCACCUUAUAUUAUCAUUAGUUUUUAUGAAAAUAAAACAAUUAUUAAGUAUAAAAAUAUAAUUAAUGCGAAAUUCACUAGCUUUGUACCGAUUUUUUUUUCUCUAACGCUAUUGAUUUUGUCUCCAGUAAAAAAGACAAUCUUAUUUACUGGAGAAGAGUCAACAUUUAGGAAUAUAAAAUUAAAGAUUUUGGGUACACUGGCCAAUCCACCCAAAAUUUUUUACUCCUAAAAAAGACAAAAUUUUAACAACUAUAAAUACUUUUUUUAACUUAAGCGUUUUAAUUUGAUGGUGUUUAAAUCUGAAUUUUUUUUUUGUUCCGACACGGCUGUUUCACGUAAUGUAAAAUUGGGCAUUAGGUCAAGAGUUUAGCAAAAACAAUUUCCGCAUAAAAAGUUUUUUAAAAAUUUUGGCAUAUAAAGUAUAAAA